AGUGAACGCUGGCGGUAGGCCUAACACAUGCAAGUCGAACGGCAGCACAGUAAGAGCUUGCUCUUACGGGUGGCGAGUGGCGGACGGGUGAGGAAUACAUCGGAAUCUACUUUUUCGUGGGGGAUAACGUAGGGAAACUUACGCUAAUACCGCAUACGACCUACGGGUGAAAGCAGGGGAUCUUCGUACCUUGCGCGAUUGAAUGAGCCGAUGUCGGAUUAGCUAGUUGGCGGGGUAAAGGCCCACCAAGGCGACGAUCCGUAGCUGGUCUGAGAGGAUGAUCAGCCACACUGGAACUGAGACACGGUCCAGACUCCUACGGGAGGCAGCAGUGGGGAAUAUUGGACAAUGGGCGCAAGCCUGAUCCAGCCAUACCGCGUGGGUGAAGAAGGCCUUCGGGUUGUAAAGCCCUUUUGUUGGGAAAGAAAAGCGGCAGGUUAAUACCCCGCUGUUCUGACGGUACCCAAAGAAUAAGCACCGGCUAACUUCGUG
rnacentral:rRNA from 1 species